rnacentral:rRNA from 1 species
GGUGAACGCUGGCGGCGUGCUUAAGACAUGCAAGUCGAACGGCAGUCUUCGGACUGUAGUGGCGCACGGGUGAGUAACGCGUAACUGACCUACCCCAAAGUCGCGGAUAACGAUUCGAAAGAAUCGCUAAUACGUGAUGUGCUGGCAGAUUGUGUUCUGCCAGUAAAGAUUGAUUGAUCUGGGAUGGGGUUGCGUUCCAUCAGCUAGUUGGUGGGGUAAAGGCCAACCAAGGCGACGACGGAUCGCCGGCCUGAGAGGGUGGCCGGCCACAGGGGCACUGAGACACGGGUCCCACUCCUACGGGAGGCAGCAGUUAGGAAUCUUCCACAAUGGGCGAAAGCCUGAUGGAGCGACGCCGCGUGAGGGAUGAAGGUCUUCGGAUCGUAAACCUCUGAAUCAGGGACGAAAGACACUUCGGUGGGAUGACGGUACCUGAGUAAUAGCACCGGCUAACUCCGUGCCAGCAGCCGCAGUAACAC